rnacentral:rRNA from 1 species
CCCCUAGAUGUUCUGGGCCGCACGCGCGCUACACUGAACAGUUCAACAAGUCUUAACCUUGGCCGAUAGGUCUGGGUAAUCUUUGAACGCUGUUCGUGAUUGGGAUAGACCUUUGCAAUUAUGGGUCUUCAACGAGGAAUUCCUAGUAAACGCAAGUCAUCAGCUUGCAUUGAUUACGUCCCUGCCCUUUGUACACACCGCCCGUCGCACCUAUCGAUUGAAUGGUCCGGUGAAAUCUCGGGACGGCGGCUUGGUCGCUUGCGUCCGACUGCUGAAACUUGAUUAAACCAUAUCAUUUAGAGGAAGGUGAANUCGUANCA